rnacentral:rRNA from 1 species
UGCCAGCCGCCGCGGUAAUACGGAGGGGGUUAGCGUUGUUCGGAAUUACUGGGCGUAAAGCGCACGUAGGCGGAUCAGAAAGUUAGGGGUGAAAUCCCGGGGCUCAACCCCGGAGCUGCAUUUGAAACUGCCUGGCUAGAGUAUAGUUAGGGAAAACGGAAUUCCACGUGUAGCGGUGAAAUGCGUAGAUAUGUGGAAGAACACCGGUGGUGAAGACGGUUUUCUGGGCUAAAACUGACGCUGAGGCGCGAAAGCUAGGGGAGCAAACAGGAUUAGAUA